AUUGAACGCUGGCGGCAUGCUUUACACAUGCAAGUCGAACGGCAGCGCGGGCUUCGGCCUGGCGGCGAGUGGCGAACGGGUGAGUAAUACAUCGGAACGUGCCCAGUAGUGGGGGAUAGCUCGGCGAAAGCCGGAUUAAUACCGCAUACGACCUGAGGGUGAAAGCGGGGGAUCUUCGGACCUCGCGCUAUUGGAGCGGCCGAUGGCAGAUUAGCUAGUUGGUGGGGUAAAGGCCUACCAAGGCGACGGUCUGUAGCUGGUCUGAGAGGACGACCAGCCACACUAGGACUGAGACACGGCCCAGACGCCUACGGGGGGGAGCAGUGGGGAAUUUUGGACAAUAGGCGAAAGCCUGAUCCAGCAAUGCCGCGUGUGUGAUGAAGGCCUUCGGGUUGUAAAGCACUUUUGGCGGGAACGAAAAGGACUGUGCCAAUACCACGGUGCGAUGACGGUACCCGCAGAAUAAGCACCGGCUAACUACGUG
rnacentral:rRNA from 1 species